rnacentral:rRNA from 1 species
CUCUUUGGACGUCGACCGGCGCACGGGUGAGUAACGCGUAUCCAACCUUCCCAUUACUGUGGGAUAACCUGCCGAAAGGCAGACUAAUACCGCAUAGUCUUCGAUGACGGCAUCAGAUUUGAAGUAAAGAUUUAUCGGUAAUGGAUGGGGAUGCGUCCGACUAGCCUGUUGGCGGGGUAACGGCCCACCAAGGCGACGAUCAGUAGGGGUUCUGAGAGGAAGGUCCCCCACAUUGGAACUGAGACACGGUCCAAACUCCUACGGGAGGCAGCAGUGAGGAAUAUUGGUCAAUGGACGGAAGUCUGAACCAGCCAAGUAGCGUGCAGGAUGACGGCCCUAUGGGUUGUAAACUGCUUUUGUAUGGGGAUAAAGUUAGGGACGUGUCCCUAUUUGCAGGUACCAUACGAAUAAGGACCGGCUAAUUCCGUGCCAGCAGCCGCGGUAAUACGGAAGGUCCAGGCGUUAUCCGGAUUUAUUGGGUUUAAAGGGAGCGUAGGCUGGAGAUUAAGUGUGUUGUGAAAUGUAGACGCUCAACGUCUGAAUUGCAGCGCAUACUGGUUUCCUUGAGUACGCACAACGUUGGCGGAAUUCGUCGUGUAGCGGUGAAAUGCUUAGAUAUGACGAAGAACUCCGAUUGCGAAGGCAGCUGACGGGAGCGCAACUGACGCUUAAGCUCGAAGGUGCGGGUAUCAAACAGGAUUAGAUACCCUGGUAGUCCGCACAGUAAACGAUGGAUGCCCGCUGUUGG